rnacentral:rRNA from 1 species
UACGUAGGGUGCAAGCGUUAAUCGGAAUUACUGGGCGUAAAGCGUGCGCAGGCGGCUUUGCAAGACAGAUGUGAAAUCCCCGGGCUUAACCUGGGAACUGCAUUUGUGACUGCAUGGCUAGAGUGCGGCAGAGGGGGAUGGAAUUCCGCGUGUAGCAGCGAAAUGCGUAGAUAUGCGGAGGAACACCGAUGGCGAAGGCAGUCCCCUGGGCCUGUACUGACGCUCAUGCACGAAAGCGUGGGGAGCAAACAGG